rnacentral:rRNA from 1 species
UACGUAGGGGGCGAGCGUUGUCCGGAUUUAUUGGGCGUAAAGAGCGUGUAGGCGGCCAGGUAGGUCUGCUGUGAAAACUCGAGGCUCAACCUCGAGACGUCGGCGGAAACCAUCUGGCUAGAGUCCGGAAGAGGAGAGUGGAAUUCCUGGUGUAGCGGUGAAAUGCGCAGAUAUCAGGAAGAACACCCGUGGCGAAGGCGGUUCUCUGGGACGGUACUGACGCUGAGAAGCGAAAGCAUGGGGAGCGAACAGG